rnacentral:rRNA from 1 species
UUUAUGGUAAAAUAUUUAUUGGAGUAGUAGUAGUGGUUCUUGAAACUUAAAGAAUUUGGCGGUAUAUUAAUCUUUUUAGAGGAACCUGUCCUGUAAUCGAUAAUCCCCGUAAAUUUGACCYGGAUUUGUAUUAUCAGUUUGUAUAUCGCUGUCGUAAGAUUAUUUUAUAAGAAAUUUUUCGGUAAUAAUUUUUUAUUAAUGUCAAGUCAAGAUGCAGUUAAUGUCUAGGGUUGAGAUGGGUUACAUUAUAAGAAUAUAUACGGAUGUAAGUUUGUAAUGUUUAUUGAAGGUGGAUUUAAUUGUAAUAUGAAAUUAAUUAUUUCAGAUGGAAAAGUACUAAUAUAUGC